GAUGAACGCUGGCGGCGUGCCUAAUACAUGCAAGUCGAGCGAACAGACGAGGAGCUUGCUCCUCUCACGUUAGCGGCGGACGGGUGAGUAACACGUGGAUAACCUCCCUAUAAGACUGGGAUAACUUCGGGAAACCGGAGCUAAUCCCGGAUAAUAUAUUGAACCGCAUGGUUCAAUAGUGAAAGACGGUUUUGCUGUCACUUAUAGAUGGAUCCGCGCCGCAUUAGCUAGUUGGUAAGGUAACGGCUUACCAAGGCAACGAUGCGUAGCCGACCUGAGAGGGUGAUCGGCCACACUGGAACUGAGACACGGUCCAGACUCCUACGGGAGGCAGCAGUAGGGAAUCUUCCGCAAUGGGCGAAAGCCUGACGGAGCAACGCCGCGUGAGUGAUGAAGGUCUUCGGAUCGUAAAACUCUGUUAUUAGGGAAGAACAAAUGUGUAAGUAACUAUGCACGUCUUGACGGUACCUAAUCAGAAAGCCACGGCUAACUACGUG
rnacentral:rRNA from 1 species